UCCAUCCUCUUGCUGAGCACAUUGAAAGGAACUGGCUAUCUUUGAUCUCUUCCUCCAGGGGAUGAACUGUAGCCUCCUUGGAACGUACUACACUUGCAAUAAUUUGCGCAUUAACCAUCAAGACACUUCAGUAAAGCUAUGCAGUGCCAAUAGUUUAAGCUGGAUCCUAUU
rnacentral:sRNA from 1 species